AUUGAACGCUGGCGGCAGGCCUAACACAUGCAAGUCGAGCGGAUGACGGGAGCUUGCUCCUUGAUUCAGCGGCGGACGGGUGAGUAAUGCCUAGGAAUUUGCCUGGUAGUGGGGGACAACGUUUCGAAAGGAACGCUAAUACCGCAUACGUCCUACGGGAGAAAGCAGGGGACCUUCGGGCCUUGCGCUAUCAGAUGAGCCUAGGUCGGAUUAGCUAGUGGGUGAGGUAAUGGCUCACCUAGGCGACGAUCCGUAACUGGUCUGAGAGGAUGAUCAGUAACACUGGAACUGAGACACGGUCCAGACUCCUACGGGAGGCAGCAGUGGGGAAUAUUGGACAAUGGACGAAAGCCUGAUCCAGCCAUGCCGCGUGUGUGAAGAAGGUCUUCGGAUUGUAAAGCACUUUAAGUUGGGAGGAAGGGCAGUAAGCUAAUACCUUGCUGUUUUGACGUUACCGACAGAAUAAGCACCGGCUAACUCUGUGCCAGCAGCCGCCGUAACAC
rnacentral:rRNA from 1 species